GCUCGAAAUUGACACGUUCGCUUUGCGCGAAUAGGGAGACGCUCUCGAAGGGAGCCAGAUUGACGUUGCGCACAUAGUCCGACUUGAUGAUGAAGGUGCCGGCAUCGUUGCAGUAGAGGUUCCACAGGAAUCUAAAACGUAAGACCAGACCGCAGAGCAGGUCGUUGAAGGAGAUGCCACGCUGGGUGCCACCACAGGCGGCAUAUAACAUGUCCACGAUCUUUGGCGGCACUCCCUCGCACAGCACAUCCUGCUGAAAGGCAUUCCGACUGAGGAAGUUUCUGCCCACGCCCGCUGACUUUUUGAAGGCAUCUCUCAGGCGGCGAAGCUCCACGUCGCUUACUGGAAUAAAAAUCGGCGAAUGAGUAACGCUGCGGUAGGGAUUAUCCCAUGUGCCUCUAAUAAAUAGCCGGUAUUCCUGGUAACCCCCUCAUUUAAUGCGAUUUACGACCUCGAUUUCACACCAACCGACGUGCCGACCAUAACGAACUGAUUAUAGGGAACAGAAGUUCCAGUAUAGAAACCGAAUUCAAAUACAUUCGCUGUAAUUGUUUUUAAUAUCAAUAAACAUCAUUUCCGAGCUCAUUUA